GAGGAGGAGGCGCUUCUACUCCUUUGUGAGAAUCAGGUGCGGAAGAUACGCGUCUAAGGCUGGGACGACUAUCCAAUUGAUCGCUACUAUCAUUCAGAUCUAAUUCAUUCAAUUGAUUAACAUUAAUAUCAAAGGUUGAGUCAUCAGAAUCAUUAUCCCUCUGAUCAUUUCGGACACUAGUAGAAACGGUUGCCGCUCGAUUCCUAC